rnacentral:rRNA from 1 species
UACCUAGUGUUCAUGCUUGUGUGGAACCACCUUAUUCCAUCCCGAACUAAGAAGUGAAACGCGCAAGGGGCGAAGAUACUAAAAGGGGGGCCUUUUGGGAAAAUAGCUUAAUGCUAGGUAAUUAAUUUUAAAAA